CCUACGGGCGGCUGCAGUGGGGAAUAUUGCACAAUGGGCGCAAGCCUGAUGCAGCCAUGCCGCGUGUGUGAAGAAGGCCUUCGGGUUGUAAAGCACUUUCAGCGGGGAGGAAGGCGGUGAGGUUAAUAACCUCAUCGAUUGACGUUACCCGCAGAAGAAGCACCGUCUAACUCCGUGCCAGCAGCCGCGGUAAUACGGAGGGUGCAAGCGUUAAUCGGAAUUACUGGGCGUAAAGCGCACGCAGGCGGUCUGUCAAGUCGGAUGUGAAAUCCCCGGGCUCAACCUGGGAACUGCAUUCGAAACUGGCAGGCUAGAGUCUUGUAGAGGGGGGUAGAAUUCCAGGUGUAGCGGUGAAAUGCGUAGAGAUCUGGAGGAAUACCGGUGGCGAAGGCGGCCCCCUGGACAAAGACUGACGCUCAGGUGCGAAAGCGUGGGGAGCAAACAGGAUUAGAUACCCUAGUAGUC
rnacentral:rRNA from 1 species